rnacentral:rRNA from 1 species
UACAGAGGGUGCAAGCGUUGUCCGGAAUUAUUGGGCGUAAAGAGCUCGUAGGCGGUCUGUCGCGUCGGAUGUGAAAAUCAGGGCUCAACCCUGGACCUGCAUUCGAUACGGGCAGACUAGAGUUCGGUAGGGGAGACUGGAAUUCCUGGUGUAGCGGUGAAAUGCGCAGAUAUCAGGAGGAACACCGGUGGCGAAGGCGGGUCUCUGGGCCGAAACUGACGCUGAGGAGCGAAAGCGUGGGGAGCAAACAGG